rnacentral:rRNA from 1 species
UAUAGGCUAAUUAAGAGCAUAUGGGGGAUUCCUAGGCUCUCAGAGGCGAUGAAGGACGUGAUAAGCUGCGAUAAGCUACGGUUAGUGGCACAUACACUUUAACCCGUAGAUUUCCGAAUGGGGAAACCUAAUAGAUUGAAGAUCUAUUGCACCGAAAGGUGGGCAAACCCGGAGAACUGAAACAUCUAAGUACCCGGAGGAGAAGAAAACAAUUGUGAUUCCAUUAGUAGUGGCGAGCGAAAGUGGAACAGCCCAAACUAUUUAUGUUUCGGCAUAAAUAGGGUUGUAGGACCACGCUAUUUGAUGCUUUAUGAACUAGAAUCUACUGGAAAGUAGAA